UACGUAGGUGGCAAGCGUUGCCCGGAUUUACUGGGCGUAAAGAGCGCGCAGGCGGUCGUUCAAGUCGCGUGUGAAAGCCCCCGGCUCAACUGGGGAGGGUCACGCGAUACUGAUCGACUCGAAGGCAGGAGAGGGUAGUGGAAUUCCCGGUGUAGUGGUGAAAUACGUAGAUAUCGGGAGGAACACCAGUGGCGAAGGCGACUACCUGGCCUGUUCUUGACGCUGAGGCGCGAAAGCUAGGGGAGCAAACGGG
rnacentral:rRNA from 1 species